GGGCAUGUAGCGCAGUUGGUAGCGCGCUCGCUUAGCAAGUUACGAAAUCGUAUGCAUUUGCGAGAGGUCUUGGGUUCAAAUCCCAACUUGUCCA